rnacentral:tRNA from 1 species
CGAGGUGUGGCUCAGUUUGGUGGAGCGCCGUGUUCGGGACGCGGAGGUCGCAAGUUCAAAUCUUGUCACCUCGA